CCCUAUGGGGUGCAGCAGCUAUCGGUUCGCCUCCAUUAUGGCGCCGGCCAGGAUCUCUUAUCCUUGCUGGAUCUGAAGGGAGUGGGACGGGUGAGGGCAAGAAAGCUCCAUCAGUCCGGCAUAACCAACCGGGAGAAGCUUAAGAGCACAGAUCCGGUGGAGAUCGCCAGGCUUCUUGGACCGAAGAUCGCAGAGAAGGUCCUCCUUCAGCUGGCUCGUGAGGAGAGGAUGGACGGGAUGAGAUCAGAUGAAGCCAUUGAAGGAUAUGGAAAAGACGGAGAGGAAGAGGUGAACGGGAUUACGAAAAAUCAAGCAGCAAGCGAAGCGCAGCCUCCAGGAGAACGGCCGCCUGCAAACAAGACAAAAGCAAGAAGGUCAAAGCAGGGGAGACUGCCUUGAAUUGGCGGGGGAGC
rnacentral:rRNA from 1 species